rnacentral:rRNA from 1 species
AGAUUACCAGAGACUCUAUGUCGCCUGGACACUCACCUGUAAUCGUGAUGGUAUCGGAUAGAUUAGCACGCUGAUCAUCAUUAUUCACUAAAGUGAUCAUCUGCACACACACAUCCAUACUGGUAUCGGUAGCGGCAGUCCAUGUUCUCUGGAUCACUUGAUCAGGACAUGACAUAAUCAAGCUAUCUGUGAACGAAAGU